rnacentral:rRNA from 1 species
AUUGAACGCUGGCGGCAUGCCUUACACAUGCAAGUCGAACGGUAACGGGCCUUCGGGUGCCGACGAGUGGCGAACGGGUGAGUAAUACAUCGGAACGUGCCCGAUCGUGGGGGAUAACGAGGCGAAAGCCUUGCUAAUACCGCAUACGAUCUACGGAUGAAAGCAGGGGACCGCAAGGCCUUGCGCGGACGGAGCGGCCGAUGGCAGAUUGGGUAGUUGGUGGGAUAAAAGCUUACCAAGCCGACGAUCUGUAGCUGGUCUGAGAGGAUGAUCAGCCACACUGGGACUGAGACACGGCCCAGACUCCUACGGGAGGCAGCAGUGGGGAAUUUUGGACAAUGGGCGCAAGCCUGAUCCAGCCAUGCCGCGUGCAGGAUGAAGGCCUUCGGGUUGUAAACUGCUUUUGUACGGAACGAAAAGCCUUCUUUUAAUACAGGAGGGUCAUGACGGUACCGUAAGAAUAAGCACCGGCUAACUACGUG